rnacentral:rRNA from 1 species
AGAGGGGUGCAAGCGUUAAUCGGAAUUACUGGGCGUAAAGGGUGCGCAGGUGGAUAAUCAAGUUGGGAUGUGAAAGCCCCGGGCUCAACCUGGGACGGUCACUCAAUACUGGUUUUCUAGAGUACAGUAGAGGAUAGUGGAAUUUUCGGUGUAGCGGUGAAAUGCGUAGAUAUCGAAAGGAACAUCAAUGGCGAAGGCAGCUAUCUGGGCUGAUACUGACACUGAGGCACGAAAGCGUGGGUAGCAAACAGGAUUAGAUACCCUGGUAGUCCACGCCGUAAACGAUGAAAACUAGCCGUUGGGGAUUUUAAAUCUUUAGUGGCGCAGCUAACGCGUUAAGUUUUCCGCCUGGGGAGUACGGCCGCAAGGUUA